rnacentral:lncRNA from 1 species
CGCGUAGGUCUCCUACGAGCUCUCUCAGUGUGCAUGUGCACCUCGUGAAGUCCGCAUUCGAGUGCACUGCUAUAUGCGCACACCACACUCUAGGGACCUUGUCCUAAUACAUGCACGUGUCAAGACAGUGUCCCUCGCAUAUCCAGCACGUAAUCAUGCAUGUACUACAAUCUGCCACAGCAAAUCAAUUCCCUUUCCUUUAUUCCCAAGCACUCGUUUGCUAAUUUAUCUUUCCAAGUUUCAUUCCCAAACAUGCAUAAUCAUCAAAUAUGCAUUUAUCAACAACAUCACAUCAAAAUAUGCAACUAAGAACUGAUUUAAAAAUAAUUUUUCAUGCAUACAU